rnacentral:rRNA from 1 species
UCUAAGUAUAACCUGCCAGACAGGGAAACUGCGUACGGCUCAUUACACCAGCCUUAAUUUACUUGACCUUGACAACCUACUUGGAUAACUGUGGUAAUUCUAGAGCUAAUACAUGCACCAAAGCUCCGAUCCUCGCGGAGAGGAGCGCAUUUGUUCGCCACAAAACCAAGCGCCCAUCUGGGCGUCCAGUGCUGAACCAGAACAACUCAGCUGAUCGCACGGUCUUGUACCGGCGACGUGUCUUUCAAGUGUCUGCCUUAUCAACUUUCGAUGGUAGUGUACCUGACUACCAUGGUUGUGACGGGUAACGGAGGAUAAGGGUUCGACUCCGGAGAAGGGGCCUGAGAAAUGGCCACUACGUCUAAGGAUGGCAGCAGGCGCGCAAAUUACCCACUCUCAACGCGAGGAGGUAGUGACGAGAAAUAACGAGACCGUUCUCAUACGAGGCCGGUUAUUGGAAUGGGUACAAUU